rnacentral:rRNA from 1 species
AUUGAACGCUGGCGGCAGGCCUAACACAUGCAAGUCGAGCGGAUGAAGGGAGCUUGCUCCUGGAUUCAGCGGCGGACGGGUGAGUAAUGCCUAGGAAUCUGCCUGGUAGUGGGGGAUAACGUCCGGAAACGGGCGCUAAUACCGCAUACGUCCUGAGGGAGAAAGUGGGGGAUCUUCGGACCUCACGCUAUCAGAUGAGCCUAGGUCUGAUUAGCUAGUUGGUGGGGUAAAGGCCUACCAAGGCGACGAUCCGUAACUGGUCUGAGAGGAUGAUCAGUCACACUGGAACUGAGACACGGUCCAGACUCCUACGGGAGGCAGCAGUGGGGAAUAUUGGACAAUGGGCGAAAGCCUGAUCCAGCCAUGCCACGUGUGUGAAGAAGGUCUUCGGAUUGUAAAGCACUUUAAGUUGGGAGGAAGGGCAGUAAGUUAAUACCUUGCUGUUUUGACGUUACCAACAGAAUAAGCACCGGCUAACUUCGUG